GGCCCCAUCGUCUAAUGGUUAGGACGCCAGGUUUUCAUCCUGGUAAUCUCAGUUCGAUUCUGGGUGGGGCUA
rnacentral:tRNA from 1 species